rnacentral:rRNA from 1 species
UACGUAGGUGGCGAGCGUUGUCCGGAUUUACUGGGCGUAAAGCGCGCGCAGGCGGCUCGCCAAGUCUGGGGUGAAAUCUCCCGGCUCAACCGGGAGAAGUCUCCGGAGACUGGCGGACUUGAGGAGAGCAGAGGAGAGUGGAAUUCCCGGUGUAGCGGUGAUAUGCGUAGAUAUCGGGAGGAACACCAGUGGCGAAGGCGGCUCUCUGGGCUCUUCCUGACGCUGAGGCGCGAAAGCGUGGGGAGCAAACCGG